UAAGGUUUUAGGUCAUAGGUUUUGGUUUAGGUUAAGGUUAUAGGUUUAGGUUAAGGUUUUAGGUCAUAGGUGUUGGUUUAGGUUAAGGUUUUAGAUAUAGGUUAAGGUUUUAAGUCAUAGGUUUUGGUUUAGGUUAAGGUUUUAGAUAUAGGUUAAGG